AUGUGUUGGUUAGGUCCCUUCUUCAAGAAUUUCCUGAGACUUUAGCCUGGCUUCUUCUUCAAGGUUCUGUGACCCAGGUCCCCAUCAAGAAAGGGGAUGUGGGGAGACUGAGAGAAUUUAGAAAAAAAGAGAAUGGGGCAGAGACACAGAGAGACAAAGAACUUGUGAUGGAAAAGGAGCAAGGAAAUGACAAAAUAAAAGGGACACAGGCACAAAGGGCAGGAAAGGCAGAUCCUGACAUGAAUGCCAGAAACGGCAUCACAAGCAACCCAAAAACAGGAUAACAACUGCACAGCCCUUCUCCUCUCCAUGCCUCAGUUUCCCCGAAUAGAAACCAUGGAAUCUGGCCUUCUCCCAGGGCAGAGUACUGCUUGCCUGCCUAUCUGCAAAGCCCGCGCGCUCUGACCCCGCCAGGACCUCGAGCCCUCGCUGCGCCUCCGCGCACUCGGCAUCCGGAACCUCAAGCCAGGGAAACAAACCCCCAAGGCCCCCCAACGUGCUUUCGGGAAGCGCCCCCAGCCCGGCCCGCCCCGCACCUGCA